UACGUAGGGUGCGAGCGUUAAUCGGAAUUACUGGGCGUAAAGCGUGCGCAGGCGGUGAUGUAAGACCGCUGUGAAAUCCCCGGGCUUAACCUGGGAACUGCAUUGGUGACUGCAUUGCUGGAGUAUGGCAGAGGGGGGUGGAAUUCCACGUGUAGCAGUGAAAUGCGUAGAGAUGUGGAGGAACACCGAUGGCGAAGGCAGCCCCCUGGGCCAAUACUGACGCUCAUGCACGAAAGCGUGGGGAGCAAACAGG
rnacentral:rRNA from 1 species